AUGAUGUCAACAGCAAGACUCUCGACACGUUUCUCCCAUCGUAGUCCUCUGGAGAGUGAUGAGAUGAAGAUGGUAAUGUGGCUCAAACCCACGGUGUUCCCCUGUAUGAAAUCCCAUCUCGAGUGGCGGCUGCCACUGUAAAAUUUCAAGGUGGUCCAUAGUCGGCCGAAAUGGAUUGUAGAGGAUAAGGAUCCACAUGGGAUGUUGAAUAUAGGCGUUUCAAGUGUGUGAGUGGUUUGUAAAAGAAUCACUCACCAAGUGGAUGUGGAGACUUAUGUUAAUUCUUGUGAGAUUUGCUCCAGGUGCUAAACUCCUAGAUCUAGACCCACAGGUCAAUUGUGUUUCC